AAUCCAAUCAACCAUGAACAUGAAAGCGAUCAGUAUCGUUUUUUUCCUGUCUGUGAUAGUUGGAACCGUGUCAGGUGAUUUACCGAACUUCUUUGUUCGUCAGUGGUAUGGCAAUGCCUUCCGUCCCCGGAGCCCAUUGUCCAAUCUGAGUCCCUACACCCGCGGUUACUAUAACGGGCCGCCAUAUGGCUUCAGUUCCGGCCAGUCGUCCUCCAUGGAGUUCGAUUAAAGAUAUAUCCACUCAGCCAAUGAGAAAAGACGUCCAGGCGUCCUUACCCCGAUUUGUACUUCCGAAUUUUGUCUGUUAAACUGAAGUUAAUUUAUCAAUAAAGUAACUCUACGUUUUUGUACAU